ACAAGGGUAAGGGAGGAUUUCUCCCCCCUCUGAUGAGUUGUUAGUAAGUCGGGAAACUUAACAGUAACAACACAACCAGUAUGAUGACGAGCUUCAUCAUAACCCUUUCCUUAUACAAGGCCCCUUCUUCGGGAGGGGCUUUCC
rnacentral:ncRNA from 2 species